rnacentral:rRNA from 1 species
CCUACGGGAGGCAGCAGUGAGGAAUAUUGGUCAAUGGACGAGAGUCUGAACCAGCCAAGUAGCGUGAAGGAUGACUGCCCUAUGGGUUGUAAACUUCUUUUAUAUGGGAAUAAAACGUUCCACGUGUGGGAUUUUGUAUGUACCAUAUGAAUAAGGAUCGGCUAACUCCGUGCCAGCAGCCGCGGUAAUACGGAGGAUCCGAGCGUUAUCCGGAUUUAUUGGGUUUAAAGGGAGCGUAGGUGGAUUGUUAAGUCAGUUGUGAAAGUUUGCGGCUCAACCGUAAAAUUGCAGUUGAAACUGGCAGUCUUGAGUACAGUAGAGGUGGGCGGAAUUCGUGGUGUAGCGGUGAAAUGCUUAGAUAUCACGAAGAACUCCGAUUGCGAAGGCAGUUCACUGGACUGCAACUGACAUUGAGGCUCGAAAGUGUGGGUAUCAAACAGGAUUAGAUACCCGAGUAGUC